rnacentral:lncRNA from 1 species
GCGAAAACAUGACGAGGGAGCGAUGCUGGAAGCUUUAUAGUGGUCGGUUUGCGCGCUUGGCAAGGAAAUCCCGAGAACUCGGGCCUCGGUUCGAUCCGGCCGAGUCCGUCUCGCCCACGACGCUGGGAAGAAGAUGGGAGGGGGCGAGACACUGCCGGGUGGGGUCAGUUGUCAGCGACUGAGAGAGAAAGGGGGAGGCGCUGUGCUGCGGGGCCGGCUCGUCAGCGAGCCAAGGCAGAGGGGCGCGCCCGCCAGGCCACGCGCGGGCUGGGCCGAGGAAAGGGAGUGGGCCGGGGCGCGGGGGAGGGGAGCUGGGCCUCGGCCUGGAAGGCUUCCUUUCUUUUUUUUCCUAUUUCCAAUUUUUUUUUCUGUUUUGUUUUAUUCUUUUUUUUUAAAGCCUUUUUCAAAAAGGAUUUUGAGGACAAUUAAAUAUAAACUAAAUACAAUCAACACAAAAUAAAAUAUGUCUCAGCAUGAAUGCACAAAAUCAUGUUACUAAGCUUAUGAUAAAUUUUAAAUUUCCACAAAAUUGUUUAUUUGCUAC